AUAUGAAAUUUCAACUUCGACAAAUAUUAUAGCUUUAUAAUAGUACAAAUUUCAUUUGAUUUCACCAAGUGCAAGAUUAAUAGAAAUACAUUCUAUUUCUAAUAACUUUAUGCAAAAAUGAUGUUUUUCACCAGAAAAGGUUGUGUGAUUGGAGAUUGUGCUCCUCCAGAUAGAACACAUUGACCUUGGACAAUAUAAAGGAGGAAUACAACUUCUUUUUGACUUACAAAACCUUUAGACUCUAGUAAGUUUAAUAGAAAUAAUAUUUCUAUUAACCUUGGACUCUAGAAGGUACGACUUUCAAUUCAAUUCACCAUUAGUCAUUACACAGCAGAAGGAGGGAAGUGGGAGAAGUGAAGAGUUGGAACUGCGUGGAAAGAUUCAUGGUCAUUUGGAUGGAUGUCUCCUAUGUAGCAAUCGGAUGAAUGGAUAUGCAUCCAUCUAUCUUUCCCGUUCCUAGGAAUAUCCAAUUCACACAGCUUCCGAUACUCUCUUCCAUGACAUGUUCUGUUCAAGGGACAUCGACUCUUAAGGUGAGAUCCCUUGAAAAAGUGCUUCCCUCGGUGGAUCUCGUCUCCUUUAAUGGAACGAUCGUUGAUUGAGCAAGUUUCUAUUCAUGUCAAGGUCUCUGAUCUAGUUAAUUAUUGUCCCUAAGCAUAAAUUCCUCCAGAUCUUCUACGGAAUCAUCGUAUACUUCUACAUAUAAGAACUAAGGAGUUCCAUAAAAUGACAGAAAGACCCAAUGAGGAACAGAGAGUUCUCAUCCUCCAUCCACAGCUCCUUCUUUGAAAUCUUAGAAAGUCAACUCUGCUUCGUCUCCUACUCUAAGAAAACUAUUUCAUUAAUAAGAGUCGUUCAGUGCUCUUGAUGUAUUGUGGACAUUGUGACAUACGAAUAACUUGGACACCUCAAUCUCACGCCUUAUUUCUUUAUUACCACUGAGUCUCUUUUGUCAUUGGAAAACAAGUGCAAGAUAAUUCUAGAAUCUUAAAUAUAAUAUGUCUCGAUAUUUUGGUGUACAAUGCAUAUUCUAUUCUGAUAUUACAUAUAAAUAGUUAUUUAUAGAUAGAGUUCCACGAAAAGAAAUAAUUCCCGAAUUAAUUACCUAGUGAGGAACAAAGCAUUAUCAUUUCCCAUCCACAGCUCCUUCGUUGAAACUCUUGAAGCCUGUUCCUUCCUAAAUUUGACAAUUUCGAAACUUAUUUAGUCUUAAUCAUCUUUUAAAAAACUUAAUUGCUUAUCACCAUACUGAAUAUUAGCCCUAUGAAGAUUUGGGAUCUCCAUACUGAUAAAAAUUAUUAAUAAAUGUUUCCCAUAACAGUUCUACUAUUUAGUUAUUAAUUAUUUUAAAAAUACUCAAGAUCUGAAUGAACCACUUUUUUAGAGUAAAUCCUUUAUUAAACAAAACAAAAUGAAAAUUCAAGAUUUAGAAGAUAAAUAAGUAAUUUUUUUCUGGAACUUGCACCAUGAUAAUUUGACCUUUUUUACACAAGUGUAUGCUAUUAUUAGCCUCAAUUAUGAUAGAUAUGCUAGAUAUAUUAAAAUAUUUAAAUCCAACUUGAGCAAUGUAAUUUGGAAAAUGGUGUCUUUUAAACUUCAAUCCAAUGGGAACAUAGGAAUCCCCCGUUUCUAAUAAAUUAAUAAAUAGCUUUGUAAAGUGUCGUCUUA
rnacentral:lncRNA from 1 species